UCUCAGCAAUAUUCCAAACACUCUUCACAAGUUCAUAACGACAAAGAAAACGAAAGAAAGGCUUACCUGGAAAAAGGAAAACUCUCACUAUCGGUGUCGCAACCUCGAAUCCCUCCGUGUAACAACCGCGCGCUGCUACUCGUAGUCGAUUAGUUUUUCCGCGUGUUGAUCGAGAUGAAAAUGAAGCUCUGCGCUCGUGCGUUGCUGAUUGUGAUGAAGAACGAAGAUAUGCGUUGCAUCGAAGGAUGAAGGAUGAGGAUUCGUGAUGAAGAUCGAGGUGUCGCGUUCGUGUCAUUGAUGGUGAAUCUCGAUGAAGGUUCAAGAAUUAUUGUGCGCGACGUCGAUGAAAAGUCGAUCGUUGACGAUCCGUCGUGAGGUUGUCACGAUUCGUUUGCAUAUUACUGCUGCGCGUUGAGGAUCAUUACGGUUGUUCUGAUAUGAAGAGUGAUGCCGACCACGAAACUGCUUCCUCCGGCGAAAAUGCGGACAUGUGAGUUUUCGUACCUUAUUGAUAUCCUUCAGCUAUGAGUUCUUCUUCUUCUGCUGCUUCCGAGUUUUCUUUUUCUGUGGUGUUGCUAUUGUCGUUGUGGGGUUUGUUUCGGCGAAUGUUGGGAUGAGAGGCCGAAGGAGUCUUGCCGGUACCAUCGAAGGGUUGUUAGCAGGGUGAGGAGAAGCUAUGGAGGCUGGGGUUGUUGGUUAUGAUGGAGGACUCAGUUAGGUGUGAUAGAGAGUGAAGUCGUUAGGGUGAGUUUUGGGUUGUGAUGGAGAUGGAAGAAGAAAACCCCCCGGCUGAAGAAUCAGUUAUCAGUUAUAUGGAGGUUGUUGAAGUUGUUAGGAAUUAGUUAGAUUCAAUGACAGUUGGCGACAGUUGGAAUUGAUUAGGCGGUUAGGACGAUUGAAGACAGUUAGAAAGUGAUUCUGUUAUGGAGUUAGAAAUUUGUUAUGAAAAUAGUUAGUUGAAGAAGAGUGUGAAAGUCUGUUAUUGGGGUUGGUUAAUCCUUGAAGGGUAUUGAAGCUAGAGGAAGAUUUUUGAAGGUCAAGUGAAGGAGAGAAAACCCAAUUCGGUUCUGUUAUGGGAAGAGGUAGAGUUUCGGUUAGGCGGUUAUUCUAUUAGUGAUGUAAGUUGAAUGUUAUGUAUCUUUUUUUACAUAAGCAUUCUCAUUGCCAGCAUCUCUAGAUGUAGAAGGAACCUCUGAUAUUUCUCUCACAAAUUUCGGCUGCAUAUUUCUCAAUCAAUGCGGAUUCAGUCAUUCUAUCAUUUGGGCUCACUCCCACAGAUGGAUUAUCUUUAUUGAUAGAAGAUAAUGCAUUUCGUUACGAACGACAACGUACACAACCUGCUUCAAUGUCUCAAAGGUGUAUUCCAUAAGCCAUGACAGUUUCUCCAUUGUCCUGUUGUCGUUAAGCUGCGUUGUCGGCGUUGCCUAUUUUGCUGCACCUCAAGAGUUUUGCUCUAUAGCUGCUGCUUAGUUUCAAUGCCGUUUCAGUUGCCGUUUGGAGAUGUUGUGAGUGGAUUCCCAAUGUAAUAAGGAGUUAAUUAUGGUGUUGUAUGGAAUGGCGCAUGCAUGGCAUGACAUGAGCCUGGUUGAAUAACAUAAAGCAUGAGAUUUACCCCGAAGAUAUGAGUCAAGACCACAUGAGAUUUAGCCACGAAAAGUCCUGGAAACAUAGGCUUUAGGAUUUGAAGGCUUCCCUUUUGUGAUUUUCUGUAUUAGAUUGAAAUGGAUAUGUAAAUGAUCAUUAAUGGUUUGGAAAAAGAAUUAAAUGGUUACAUGGAUUUUUUUAGAAAUUAGGAAUUAGUAAAAAUGAAAUAUGGAUUUGGAAAGA